UACGAAGGGGGCUAGCGUUGCUCGGAAUCACUGGGCGUAAAGCGCACGUAGGCGGCUUUCUAAGUCAGGGGGUGAAAUCCUGGAGCUCAACUCCAGAACUGCCUUUGAUACUGGAGUGCUUGAGUCCGGGAGAGGUGAGUGGAACUCCGAGUGUAGAGGUGAAAUUCGUAGAUAUUCGGAAGAACACCAGUGGCGAAGGCGGCUCACUGGCCCGGUACUGACGCUGAUGUGCGAAAGCGUGGGGAGCAAACAGG
rnacentral:rRNA from 1 species